rnacentral:rRNA from 1 species
UACGGAGGGGACUAGCGUUGUUCGGAAUUACUGGGCGUAAAGCGCACGUAGGCGGAUUUGUAAGUCAGGGGUGAAAUCCCGGGGCUCAACCUCGGAACUGCCUUUGAUACUGCAAAUCUCGAGUCCGGAAGAGGUGAGUGGAAUUCCCAGUGUAGCGGUGAAAUGCGUAGAUAUUGGGAAGAACACCUGAGGCGAAGGCGGGUUGCUGGGCUGACACUGACGCUGAGGCGCGAAAGCCAGGGGAGCAAACGGG